CACACACUGGUAACCCUCUACAGUAAAGUUCAUCUUAUAAGCUUUUCUUGGCACUAAGUAAGUAAACUUUUGUAUAUCGCACUUUACACAGACAGAAAUCAGGGUAACACUUUAUUUCACAACUAUCUCUAUAACACAUUGUAAAUAUAUGUAUAAUGCAUUAUAAUCACAUUAUAGUACUGAAAAACUACAGUUAUAAAAACUCAUAAAUGAUCAUAAUGCUUUAUAGCAAUAAUCAUAACACAUUAUAAAGCAUUUUAUCAGAACUUACAAGGUCAGGUAUUAUAAAGUGUUAUGCUUAUUGUUGUAAAGCCUUAUGAUAAUUAAUGAGUGUUUAUAAUGAUAGUUAAACAAGUUUAUAUGCAAAUUAUAACGCAUCAUAAACAUAUGUGUAAUGCAUUAUCUAUGUGGCCGUUGUCAGUGAGUUGUUAGCAGUGAUAACACAUUAUAAUACUUGACCUCGUAAGUCAUGAUAAAAUGCUUUAUAAUGUGUUAUUAUUAUUGCUAUAAAGGAUAAUGAUCAUUUAUUAGUGUUUACAACUAUAGUUAUACAGUGCUAUAAUGUGAUUAUAAUGUAUUAUACAUAUAUUUAUAAUGCAGAUAGGCGUCAAAUAAAGUGUAACCAAAAUCACAAAGCGUGUCACAAAAAGUCAUGAACAAUAAUAAGAAAAGACGUCAAAAAUACAAAACAACAAAAUAAAACAUUUUCACUAUUCAAGAAGAGUAGGAAAAUCUAAUUAAGGCAAACAAAUGUAUAAUCAUAAGCAAUAAGUGGCACCAUAGUUAAGAAAAGUGGAAUUACUGAAUAGGAAUUACCUAUGUGUCUGUCUAAACAGAUAUGUUUGUAGAUGAGUUUUGCAGGUCUCCAUAGAGACAUUGUUUGCUUAAUCAUAAACUAAUGUCUGAUUCAUUCUUGCACCAGUCAUUACCACAUCAUCAAUUAACAGAGAGUAUGUCUGCAUAACAGUCUGAGUAAUGUAUGACUUUAGGUCUUUGCACACUGAGUCUAUAUCUUUCCUUCUACUGUAUAUUGUCAUGUUGUAUCAAUCAUGUCUGCACACCAACUCAUCAACUCAACUCAAACAUGUUUGAUAUUUACAAUUUAAAGUUGGACUGCCUUUGACAGAAACCCUGUAAAAACAAAUGGAGCGGGCAGACUGGGAAGUCUUAACAACUCAGUGUUUGUAUUUACAGCUCACAAACAUGGCUGUCUAAGUUCUGUCUUUGCAGCAAAACUGAACACACAUGAUGACAGCCAACUGAUGAAGUGGAUUAUCCCCCAUGUUUUUUUUUUGUUUUUUUUACAAGAAAGAAGGGACACAAAUCAAUGAACACAAGACACAAAACAUCAAAACAAGGCAAUGAUAUGCUGCAGUGGUACAUGGGUGAGAUAGAAUAUGGAGUUCACAACACAGUCUGCUGAAACUGUGUUUGUAGGGAGCUAAAAUUGUAUAAUCAACAACAUGCAG